UUCUUUUUCCUGGGUUAAUACCUCCAACGCCUGUACGUAUGUAAUAAACAUAGCAGCAACUGUCAAUAUACCAAUGUGACCAACUUCAAUUCGACGCAACUGCAAGCACCUUCGAUAAUAUUACAUUUAAAUGCCAAACUUUAUAUAGUACCAUUAAAUCCCAUCCGUAGAAACCGCCAAAACUUUCCUCGUGCAUUAUACACCCGAC
rnacentral:lncRNA from 1 species